GAUGAACGCUGGCGGCGUGCCUAAUACAUGCAAGUCGAGCGAACAGAUGAGGAGCUUGCUCCUCUGACGUUAGCGGCGGACGGGUGAGUAACACGUGGAUAACCUACCUAUAAGACUGGGAUAACUUCGGGAAACCGGAGCUAAUACCGGAUAAUAUAUUGAACCGCAUGGUUCAAUAGUGAAAGACGGUUUUGCUGUCACUUAUAGAUGGAUCCGCGCCGCAUUAGCUAGUUGGUAAGGUAACGGCUUACCAAGGCAACGAGGCGUAGCCGACCUGAGAGGGUGAUCGGCCACACGGGAAGUUAGACACGGUCCAGACUCCUACGGGAGGCAGCAGUAGGGAAUCUUCCGCAAUGGGCGAAAGCCUGACGGAGCAACGCCGCGUGAGUGAUGAAGGUCUUCGGAUCGUAAAACUCUGUUAUUAGGGAAGAACAAAUGUGUAAGUAACUAUGCACGUCUUGACGGUACCUAAUCAGAAAGCCACGGCUAACUACGUG
rnacentral:rRNA from 1 species